ensembl:lncRNA
AGUCAACACACACCGUGACAUUGGGAGAGACUUGAUUCAAGAGGAUUAGAUUUGGAGUUGUUUUCCUCCUGCUAUGCACUUGUACUGUAAGCAGAGGGGACCAUAAGGAUUUAGGUUCAUAGGGGCUUGAGCUGGCACCAUCAAGAGGGGGAAAUCUUUUUCAUUUGAUACAGACAUUAAACUUUAGACAGGAAAAACUCCCUGAGGAGGAGACAUAAAAAAAUGAAACCACAAAAAGUCUGGAAGAACUUGACUCAAAAGAGGGCAUGGGUAAGGACGUUCCCCAGGGAAAUACUUACCUUCAGCAGAACUUCCAACAAUACAGGUGGGGCUCAAAACAGGUGGGGCUCACCUGCCCUCAAUGACGGGUCACCACUGCACACUGCAUCGUUGCAGCCUUGCAGACAAGCAUCCGCCCAGUGCUGAUCAGCCUGACUGCUUACAACAACAACAAAAACUGUGUGGGAGGAAGAUAGUUAUUUUACACACACUCACUCAGCACAGGAUGAGUGUGUGUAUGAAGACGGCGAGGACCAAAGUUCUUACUCCAGCUGUCCUGCCACCCACAAAUCUCUGUGAAUUGUGGCCAGUGGGUUGAACAGGCAGAGGAAUGCUUUCAUUUUGCUGCCUAUGUAUUGGAAUGGCAACAUUAAAGGAAUUUAAAACAUGCCCCUAAUGUAUUAAUAGGCAUCUGUUUGCUAUAAGAGAGUGCUAAUUAACGGCUAUGAUUGUGGAGGAGAAAGAGAGAAACAGGGGGGUUGAGAGAGAGAGGGAGAGGUUCUGUUUCACUUGCUUUGGCAAUGUUAACAUAUGCUUCCCAUGCCAAUAAAGCCCAUUGAAUUGAGAGAGCGAGAGCCAUAAUGUUUGUAUUUAGUAUAAAUUGCUGUUUUUGUUUGGUGAUUUGAAAGGCAGGAUAAACAGAAUAAAGAAUGAACUUUUCUGUUUACAUUAGCAGAGUAGUUAGCCCCAUAUGUAUAUGCCACUUCCACUACUUGCUCCAGUCCUAUGAAAUGCAUGGAAAUGAUUAGAUGAAAAAUGUGCGCUGCGAUGGUCACAGUUAUUCUGGCAAUCAACACAGAGAAAAAUAUUCUGUAAAAAGCCUCCCUUCUUCCAUUUUCCUGCCAUUAUACCUGCGAAUUCACAUACACCCAAGUUCUUAUCUUCCUUACAUAGCCAUAUAUUCAAAUCUCAUCUUCCUAUUAUCACCAUCUACAUUUAAAUAUCUAUUCUUUAUCCAUGUACAGUCAAAC